UACGAAGGGUGCUAGCGUUGCUCGGAAUCACUGGGCGUAAGGCGCACGUAGGCGGAUUGCUAAGUCAGGGGUGAAAUCCUGGAGCUCAACUCCAGAACUGCCUUUGAUACUGGCGACCUUGAGUCCGGGAGAGGUGAGUGGAACUGCGAGUGUAGAGGUGAAAUUCGUAGAUAUUCGCAAGAACACCAGUGGCGAAGGCGGCUCACUGGCCCGGUACUGACGCUGAGGUGCGAAAGCGUGGGGAGCAAACAGG
rnacentral:rRNA from 1 species